rnacentral:rRNA from 1 species
GUGGGUAGUUUGACUGGGGCGGUCUCCUCCUAAAGAGUAACGGAGGAGCACGAAGGUUGGCUAAUCCUGGUCGGACAUCAGGAGGUUAGUGCAAUGGCAUAAGCCAGCUUGACUGCGAGCGUGACGGCGCGAGCAGGUGCGAAAGCAGGUCAUAGUGAUCCGGUGGUUCUGAAUGGAAGGGCCAUCGCUCAACGGAUAAAAGGUACUCCGGGGAUAACAGGCUGAUACCGCCCAAGAGUUCAUAUCGACGGCGGUGUUUGGCACCUCGAUGUCGGCUCAUCACAUCCUGGGGCUGAAGUAGGUCCCAAGGGUAUGGCUGUUCGCCAUUUAAAGUGGUACGCGAGCUGGGUUUAGAACGUCGUGAGACAGUUCGGUCCCUAUCUGCCGUGGGCGCUGGAGAACUGAGGGGGGCUGCUCCUAGUACGAGAGGACCGGAGUGGACGCAUCACUGGUGUUCGGGUUGUCAUGCCAAUGGCACUGCCCGGUAGCUAAAUGCGGAAGAGAUAAGUGCUGAAAGCAUCUAAGCACGAAACUUGCCCCGAGAUGAGUUCUCCCUGAGACUUUAGGUCUCCUGAAGGAACGUUGAAGACGACGACGUUGAUAGGCCGGGUGUGUAAGCGCAGCGAUGCGUUGAGCUAACCGGUACUAA